rnacentral:rRNA from 1 species
UACGUAGGGACCAAGCGUUGUUCGGAUUUACUGGGCGUAAAGGGCGCGUAGGCGGCGUGGUAAGUCACUUGUGAAAUCUCUGAGCUUAACUCAGAACGGCCAAGUGAUACUGCUGUGCUAGAGUGCAGAAGGGGCAAUCGGAAUUCUUGGUGUAGCGGUGAAAUGCGUAGAUAUCAAGAGGAACACCGGUGGCGAAGGCGGCAUCCUGGACCGGUAUUGACGCUGAGGCGCGAAAGCUAGGGGAGCAAACGGG